AAUAUAUGGAGGGUUUGUUUAACAAAACUCUUAUGUCUUCCAACGGAGUUAUCGACUGUUACGUCAUCGAUAUACGGAAGGACUAUAUUGUAGGUGACUUUUGAGACUGUGAUAUUGACCUGUAUUUUUUUGAGAUGGAUGUUUGUCUAGCAAAAAAAAUCAUUUGGAGAGUCCUUUUGCAU
rnacentral:sRNA from 1 species